AGAGUUUGAUCAUGGCUCAGGAUGAACGCUAGCUACAGGCUUAACACAUGCAAGUCGAGGGGAAACGACAUCGAAAGCUUGCUUUUGAUGGGCGUCGACCGGCGCACGGGUGAGUAACGCGUAUCCAACCUGCCCACCACUUGGGGAUAACCUUGCGAAAGUAAGACUAAUACCCAAUGACGUCUCUAGAAGACAUCUGAAAGAGAUUAAAGAUUUAUCGGUGAUGGAUGGGGAUGCGUCUGAUUAGCUUGUUGGCGGGGUAACGGCCACAAGGCGACGAUCAGUGGCCGACCUGAGAGGGUGACCGGCACAUUGGGACUGAGACACGGCCCAGACUCCGUACGGGAGGCA
rnacentral:rRNA from 1 species